GAUGAACGCUGGCGGCGUGCUUAACACAUGCAAGUCGAACGCUAAGGCACCUUCGGGUGUACACGCGUGGCGAACGGGUGAGUAACACGUGGGGAACCUACCCUUCUCUCUGGGAUAACUCCGGGACACCGGUGCUAAUACCGGAUACUUCGGUCGGAUCGCAUGGUCUGAGCGAGAAAGCUCCGGCGGAGAAGGAUGGCCCCGCGCCUGAUUAGCUUGUUGGUGGGGUAACGGCUCACCAAGGCGACGAUCAGUAGCCGAGCUGAGAGGCUGAUCGGCCACACUGGGACUGAGACACGGCCCUGACUCCUACGGGAGGCAGCAGUGGGGAAUCUUGCGCAAUGGGCGAAAGCCUGACGCAGCAACGCCGCGUGCGGGAUGAAGGCUCUCGGGUCGUAAACCGCUUUCAGCAGGGAUGAAAAUGACAGUACCUGCAGAAGAAGCCCCGGCUAAAUACGUGCCAGCAGCCGCAGUAAAAC
rnacentral:rRNA from 1 species